AUUGAACGCUGGCGGCAGGCCUAACACAUGCAAGUCGAACGAGUGGCGGACGGGUGAGUAAUGUCUGGGAAACUGCCUGAUGGAGGGGGAUAACUACUGGAAACGGUAGCUAAUACCGCAUACCAUCGGAUGUGCCCAGAUGGGAUUAGCUAGUAGGUGGGGUAACGGCGCACCUAGGCGGCGAUCCCUAGCUGGUCUGAGAGGAUGACCAGCCAGACUGGAACUGAGACACGGGCCGGACUCCUACGGGAGGCAGGAGUGGGGAAUAUUGCACAAUAGGCGCAAGCCUGAGGCAGCCAUGCCGCGAGUAUGAAGAAGGCCUUCGGGUUGUAAAGUACUUUCAGCGAGGAGGCGUUACCCGCAGAAGAAGCACCGGCUAACGCCGUGCCAGCAGCCGCGGUAAUAC
rnacentral:rRNA from 1 species